CCGCCGAUUCAUUGAGGAUUUGAGGUUGAGGGCACAAGAGGCAUGUCUUGUUCAGCAACUGGGAUGGAAAGCAUAUCAGUCCCCACCCUCGAUUCAUAGAAACACAAGGUUUACUGAACAUAAGAGGUGGCUUAAAUCUAGUAACUAUUAAGGUUUCAGGUGUGGACGCGUGCAAUAUUUCAAUGUAGUUCUGCACCAUUACUACCUUCCAGAUAUGUAAUGGACAAGAAUUUCAGUGCAUGAGCGAAGGGAAAUAGAUUCUGCUGCACAUAAGGUAUAUAUCCAUUCCCAUAUACAAUAUGUUCAAAAUAUGUUGCUCCAAUGGUUAUGUAUCUACUGGUCGUCUUGCUAAAUGUUAUUAAAAACAAGAAUGUUAGUGCAUGUCAGGGAGAAAAAACUUCUGUUGCAAACAAGCGGUAUCCUUUCAUAAUCACAUACAAAUUUUGUUUAGACUAUUUGUGGCUUGUUUAGUUGUUUAUUACUUCUUUGCUAUCAGUCUGUUGUCCAGACUACAAAAACAACAUAAGGUGCUAAUGCAUGCUGUAAGAGUGCUCGAAGUGGUUCCCUGAGUUGGAUGGAUGCCAAUGAACUAUCUGUUGUGCUCAAAUUCAUUUCAUAUGUUCCCCUGUUUUGUUUCUGUCUUCUCAUAUGGCAACUUUUAUUUUUUCUAACAGGCAGGAACUAAAGUAUUCUUGAAGAGCCCGAAAAAUCAUAAUAAGGGCGUAGCUCUAGAUACAAUGAUUCAAAAGAUAAAUUGAUGAGUAUAUGGGAGCGUGGCGAUUAUACUGCAAUGAUGAUGUCGAUGAUCCAUUUCAUGAUGAUGAUGACGGAUGCAUUUAGUUUUAGUUAUAUUGUAGGGACGACGUUCUUGUCGGAUGUUGUUCCUCAGUUAAGAUGGAUAUUUUCAGUUUAAGUUUCGCGGUCAAGAAAAUUGUUAGAUUAUGCAUCACAUUUGGAUGAUGUUCCUCCUGUAAUAUCCACUAUUGUAAUCCAACAGUUUUGAUCUAAUAUAUGAUUUCUUCCUCUCGUGAGUA